AAGGAUUUAAGUUAAUCAAACUAAUAACCUUCAAAGUUAUAAAUAAAGUAAAUACUUUAAGCCUUA
rnacentral:tRNA from 1 species